rnacentral:lncRNA from 1 species
ACGGCCUGGCAUGAUUCAUUGGUUUGUUUGUGACAAUGACGUCACUAACAGUUGGAGCAUGGCAGAAGGCUAAAGCAGGGAGAGUGGGCUAUCCCUCAGUAAUCCCUGAUCCCUGAAUGGGUUAUCCCUCUGUGAUCCUGUGAGUCUUCACAGGCAUGGCAUUUUGCUGCCUGUGUGCUAAGCUGACCCGCACAGGAGCUGGGCACAGUAUGCCCGCAGGAGCAGGGCUCAGUAUACCAUGCAUGGGGAAACAGCAGGUAGGAUGGCUCUUCAGAUUCUCAUUAGAACACAAGAACCAUGUGCUGAGACCUCAGUAGCUUAGAAACAAGCAGUGUAUGUACUACCUCAUCUUGGCUAGUAGGUGUUCCUUUCUUCUCAGGGCCUUCUCAUAUUUCACUAAUGUCCCUGCACCAUGCAGGACACUGCAGGAGCUGGCAUGCAUCCUCACGCCCAAGGAGCCUUGAGAACGAGCUCUCCACGGUAUGCACCAUGAUGAUGGGAGCCGUUGGAGUCUGGAAUACAUCGUUUUUGCCUCCCCCCACUUUCUGGGGAAGAAUCAAGAAAAAGGAAACAGAAAACAUUAGGUGAUGGAAGAUGUUGUGUUCAAGCCUCCUUUCUUCUCCCACUUUCAUUCUAAGAACUUCUGAGAACAGGAAACUGGGCUGUGUACUUUCUCGUGCUCUGUGGAAGCCGGACAUACAAACCCUUUGCUGUAUAUUCCCCAUGAUCCUGGGUGCCUACUGGAUGCUUCUCCAUGGGACUGGUGUUGCGACCAGACCUGCUUUACCCAAAGAAUGAAUGGAUGCCGUCCAACUUGCUUAUCCCAUCUUUCCCAGAGAGUCUUAACUAGUAAGGGAACAUUUCAGUAAAUGAGACCUGAGACCACAGUUUGUACAAGAGACCAACAGAUUUUGAUUUUCAGAGAUCGAAAUAAUUUCAAGUAGAUGAAGCCAUACCCACGUGAAUUUUGUUCCCCAACUUAAAGUGAUUCGCAGAUUUAAAAAUCACGAAUUGUGUUUGGUUGAAAGACAUCAUCUGAAUGAGGAACGUGGGAAAUAUGAGGUACCCUUUCACACAGAUGACAAGAAACAAAGGUCUGCCAUGUGCAAAGGCACCUGGCUUGACUGGAGUGGUUUUUGUGAGGACCACAAGAGACUGAAGUUUACUUCCCCAUCAAGCUUGAACACCGAUUUUUGUCUAGCCAUCUAACCAAGUACACAUAGGGGUAACAUCAGGUGAAUCAAGACAUGUUUUGAUAUAAGACAUAGCUAAUAAAAAUUAGCAGUAUCUAUCUCCUCUAUCUUGGUUGCACUCUCUUCCUUCUUAUUGCCUUGGAAUUCUCGACUUGUUGACUGGGUAUCCAGAGUAUCCAGAGGGAAAUACCUGGGUUAUCUGGCACUCACUACAUGGGGCUUGGAUUCAAAUUUGCGGGAUCCUGGAUGAAAGGUGGCUGCUGUUACGACAAAGAUGUGAACCCAGAGACUUGGGGCUACAUGACAUUCCUUCCCGGGACUCUAAGCUGGUGUCUAGGACUGAAAGAGCGCUGUACCACCUUCCAGUACACUGUAGAACACUGUAGAAGAUACAGUAAUUUGCUGUGAG